rnacentral:rRNA from 1 species
AGAGUUUGAUCAUGGCUCAGAAUCAACGCUGGCGGCGUGCCUAACACAUGCAAGUCGAACGCGAAAGGGGAGCAAUCCCUGAGUAGAGUGGCAAACGGGUGAGUAACACGUGGGUGACCUGCCUUCGAGUGGGGGAUAACGUUCCGAAAGGAACGCUAAUACCGCAUGACAUCCUGCUCUUGGACGAGCGGAGAUCAAAGCUGGGGAUCGCAAGACCUGGCGCUUGAAGAGGGGCCCGCGCCUGAUUAGCUAGUUGGUGAGGUAACGGCUCACCAAGGCAACGAUCAGUAUCCGGCCUGAGAGGGCGGACGGACACACUGGGACUGAGACACGGCCCAGACUCCUACGGGAGGCAGCAGUGGGGAAUUGUUCGCAAUGGGCGCAAGCCUGACGACGCAACGCCGCGUGGAGGAUGAAGAUCUUCGGGUCGUAAACUCCUGUCGAAUGGGAAGAACGUUUCGCGGAUGAAUAAGCCGCGAAAGUGACGGUACCAUUAAAGGAAGCCCCGGCUAACUCCGUGCCAGCAGCCGCGGUAAUACGGGGGGGGCAAGCGUUGUUCGGAAUUACUGGGCGUAAAGGGCUCGUAGGUGGCCAACUAAGUCAGACGUGAAAUCCCCAGGCUUAACCUGGGAACUGCGUCUGAUACUGGAUGGCUUGAAUUCGGGAGAGGGAUGCAGAAUUCCAGGUGUAGCGGUGAAAUGCGUAGAUAUCUGGAGGAAUACCGGUGGCGAAGGCGGCAUCCUGGACCGAGAUUGACACUGAGGAGCGAAAGCUAGGGGAGCAAACGGGAUUAGAUACCCCGGUAGUCCUAGCCCUAAACGAUGAAUGCUUGGUGUGACGGGUAUCGA